rnacentral:rRNA from 1 species
GACGAACGCUGGAGGCGUGCCUAAUACAUGCAAGUAGAACGCUGAAGGAGGAGCUUGCUUCUCUGGAUGAGUUGCGAACGGGUGAGUAACGCGUAGGUAACCUGCCUGGUAGCGGGGGAUAACUAUUGGAAACGAUAGCUAAUACCGCAUAAUAGUAGAUGUUGCAUGACAUUUGCUUAAAAGGUGCAAUUGCAUCACUACCAGAUGGACCUGCGUUGUAUUAGCUAGUUGGUGGGGUAACGGCUCACCAAGGCGACGAUACAUAGCCGACCUGAGAGGGUGAUCGGCCACACUGGGACUGAGACACGGCCCAGACUCCUACGGGAGGCAGCAGUAGGGAAUCUUCGGCAAUGGACGGAAGUCUGACCGAGCAACGCCGCGUGAGUGAAGAAGGUUGUCGGAUCGUAAAGCUCUGUUGUAAGAGAAGAACGAGUGUGAGAGUGGAAAGUUCACACUGUGACGGUAUCUUACCAGAAAGGGACGGCUAACUACGUG